CCUACGGGUGGCAGCAGUGGGGGAUAUUGGGCAAUGGAGGCAACUCUGACCCAGCAACGCCGCGUGAAGGAAGAAGGCCUUAGGGUUGUAAACUUAUGUUGUAAAGGAAGAAAAGCAUGACGAUCCUUUUCAAGCCAGCCCCUGCUAACUAUGUACCCGCAGCCGCGUUAAGACAUGGGGGGAAAGCGUUGUUCGGAAUUACUGGGCGUAAAGGGAGCGGAGGCGGGAGAUUACGUUAAGAGUGAAAGCCUUGGGCUCAAGCCAAGAAAUGCUCUUAAUACUGGUUUUCUAGAGUGUGGGAGAGGUAAGUGGAAGUCCUAGUGUAGCGGUAGAAUGCGUAGAGAUUAGGAGGAACAUCAGAGGCGAAGGCGGCUUACUGGACCAUAACCGACGCUGAGGCUCGAAAGCGUGGGGAGAAAACAGGAUUAGAUAGUAGUC
rnacentral:rRNA from 1 species